rnacentral:rRNA from 1 species
AUUGAACGCUGGCGGCAUGCUUUACACAUGCAAGUCGAACGGUAACAGGCCGCAAGGUGCUGACGAGUGGCGAACGGGUGAGUAAUGCAUCGGAACGUGCCCAGUCGUGGGGGAUAACGCAGCGAAAGCUGCGCUAAUACCGCAUACGAUCUAUGGAUGAAAGCGGGGGACCGUAAGGCCUCGCGCGAUUGGAGCGGCCGAUGUCAGCUUAGGUAGUUGGUGGGGUAAAGGCUCACCAAGCCAACGAUCUGUAGCUGGUCUGAGAGGACGAACAGCGACACUGGGACUGAGCGACGGCCCAGACUCCUACGGGAGGCAGCAGUGGAGAAUUUUGGACAAUGGGCGCAAGCCUGAUCCAGCAAUGCCGCGUGCAGGAAGAAGGCCUUCGGGUUGUAAACUGCUUUUGUACGGAACGAAACGGCUCUGGUUAAUACCUGGGGCUAAUGACGGUACCGUAAGAAUAAGCACCGGCUAACUACGUGCCAGCAGCCGCCGUAAAAC